AUCUGGGAGGCCACAAACCAUGGAAGCUGUACGCAUGGCGUAGUGGACUAGCGGUUAGAGGAGACCCCUCCCUUGCAAAUCGCAGCAACAAUGGGGGCCCAAGGUGAGAUGAAGCUGUAGUCUCACUGGAAGGACUAGAGGUUAGAGGAGACCCCCCCGAAACAAAAAACAGCAUAUUGACGCUGGGAAAGACCAGAGAUCCUGCUGUCUCCUCNNNNNNAUUCCAGGCACAGAACGCCAGAAAAUGGAAUGGUGCUGUUGAAUCAACAGGUUCU
rnacentral:lncRNA from 1 species